AGUCUGACUGCCCAUACUCAGAAAAAGUUCCAAGUAUUAAAAUUCCCAUGGACAUCAUGGAACAACAGCCUUUCCUAAGCGAUAGCAAACCUUCCGACAGAGAAAGAUCGUCAACAUUCCUUGAGCGCCACACAUCAUGCUGAUAAAAUUCCUUUCCUUCAAUCACUCGGUAUGCCAAGUCCUCCUAGAACUCCAGUAAAAGUUGUGCCUCAAAUUAGAAUAGAACUUGAGCCUGAAGACAAUGAUGACUUCUGGAGGAGCAAGGGAACAGACACUACAUUGUAACUUGUUUGUCUUUCUUAAAACUGACAGUCUUGUUGUUAAUGUUUUGGGGGGUUUUGUCUGGCUGUUUAUUUUUUAACUUUUAUUUUGUCUCAGUUUUUGGUCACUGGCCAAAGUGCUCUCUCUGCUUCUCCCCUGCAUAGGUAAAAUCAAGACAAUAGUGCAUCGUUCCUUAAAAACAGCAUCUGAGGAAUCCCCCUUUUGUCCUUAAACUUUCAGAUGUCUCCUCUGACAACAGAAUUUCUCUAUCACUCAAGACACACACAGACCAUGCUAUUUUCCUCUAUUAAGCAGAGGACAAAAGUAUUAAGGAUUUUAUAACACCUUUUAUUAAAAUAUUGAAGGAACUUGCAACCUUAGCUUUGGAGCUGUGCUUACUGGCUUGUCUUUGUCUGGUAAAACAAACCUUGACCUCCAGGCAGAGUCCCUUCUCACUAAUAGAGCUCUCUGGGACUGGAAAAAGUGCUGCUAUUCUAACUUGCUUUUGCUUGUAAACCCUAAUCUUAGAGUUAUCAAAA